UACGAAGGGGGCUAGCGUUGUUCGGAAUCACUGGGCGUAAAGGGCGCGUAGGCGGCCGAUCAAGUCGGGGGUGAAAGCCUGUGGCUCAACCACAGAAUUGCCUUCGAUACUGUUUGGCUUGAGACCGGAAGAGGCGAGUGGAAUUCCUGGUGUAGCGGUGAAAUGCGCAGAUAUCAGGAGGAACACCGAUGGCGAAGGCAGCUCGCUGGGACGGUACUGACGCUGAGGCGCGAAAGCGUGGGGAGCAAACAGG
rnacentral:rRNA from 1 species